rnacentral:tRNA from 1 species
GCCUGAGUGGCUCAGUUGGUUAAGCUUCUGACUUCAGCUCAGAGGCUUGUGGUCCAUGAGUUCGAGCCCCAUGUCGGGCU